UCCUUAGCUGAGGCCGAGAGGGGUUGGAGAUGGAUUACUGGUUGAUAUUCCUGUACCACCAAAAAUCGUUUUUAGCGAUGGGGGGACGCAGUAGGAUAGGCGAAGCGUGCUGUUGGAGUGCACGUCCAAGCAGUGAGACUGAGUGUUAGUCAAAUCCGGCACUCAAAAGGUCAAGCUGUGAUGGGUAGAGGAAAUAGUUUCCUCGAGUCGUUGAUUUCACACUGCCGA
rnacentral:rRNA from 1 species